rnacentral:rRNA from 1 species
UGGGGAAUUUUGGACAAUGGGCGAAAGCCUGAUCCAGCAACGCCGCGUGUGUGAAGAAGGCCUUCGGGUUGUAAAGCACUUUUGUCCGGAAAGAAAUCCUUGGCUCUAAUACAGUCGGGGGAUGACGGUACCGGAAGAAUAAGCACCGGCUAACUACGUGCCAGCAGCCGCGGUAAUACGUAGGGUGCAAGCGUUAAUCGGAAUUACUGGGCGUAAAGCGUGCGCAGGCGGUUUGCUAAGACCGAUGUGAAAUCCCCGGGCUCAACCUGGGGACUGCAUUGGUGACUGGCAGGCUAGAGUAUGGCAGAGGGGGGUAGAAUUCCACGUGUAGCAGUGAAAUGCGUAGAGAUGUGGAGGAAUACCGAUGGCGAAGGCAGCCCCCUGGGCCAAUACUGACGCUCAUGCACGAAAGCGUGGGGAGCAAACAGGAUUAGAUACCCUGGUAGUCCACGCCCUAAACGAUGUCAACUAGUUGUUGGGGGUUCAUUUCCUUAGUAACGUAGCUAACGCGUGAAGUUGACCGCCUGGGGAGUACGGUCGCAAGAUUAAAACUCAAAUGAAUUGACGGGGUCAUAGCUGUUUCCU